rnacentral:rRNA from 1 species
UAAGCGUGCGCAGGCGGUUAUAUAAGACAGAUGUGAAAUCCCCGGGCUCAACCUGGGAACUGCAUUUGUGACUGUAUAGCUGGAGUGCGGCAGAGGGGGAUGGAAUUCCGCGUGUAGCAGUGAAAUGCGUAGAUAUGCGGAGGAACACCGAUGGCGAAGGCAAUCCCCUGGGCCUGCACUGACGCUCAUGCACGAAAGCGUGGGGAGCAAACAGGAUUAGAUACCCCAGU